rnacentral:rRNA from 1 species
GAUGAACGCUAGCUACAGGCUUAACACAUGCAAGUCGAGGGGAAACGAUAUUGGAAGCUUGCUUCCGAUAGGCGUCGACCGGCGCACGGGUGAGUAACGCGUAUCCAACCUGCCCACCACUUGGGGAUAACCUUGCGAAAGUAAGACUGAUACCCAAUGAUAUCUCUAGAAGACAUCUGAAGGAGAUUAAUGAUUCAUCGGUGAUGGAUGGGGAUGCGUCUGAUUAGCUUGUUGGCGGGGUAACGGCCCACCAAGGCGACGAUCAGUAGGGGUUCUGAGAGGAAGGUCACCCACAUUGGAACUGAGACACGGUCCAAACUCCUACGGGAGGCAGCAGUGAGGAAUAUUGGUCAAUGGACGAGAGUCUGAACCAGCCAAGUAGCGUGCAGGAUGACGGCCCUAUGGGUUGUAAACUGCUUUUAUAAGGGAAUAAAGUGAGUCUCGUGAGACUUUUUGCAUGUACCUUAUGAAUAAGGACCGGCUAAUUCCGUGCCAGCCGCCGCGGUAA